rfam:Cucumis sativus cultivar 9930 chromosome 2, whole genome shotgun sequence.
AAACAAUGAUGGUAUUCUUUAAGGCUUGUUUCUCAAAGCAUUCGCAGUGGCCGCUUAAGAGCUUUUGCCUUCGUCGGGCUUGAGAGCUAUUGCUGCUUUAUCAUUCUUUAGAUGUCUGAGUUC